UUCAAUUUGUUAACUUUUUAUUGAAACUCAAAUGAAAAUAUUCACAAAAAGAAUAAUUACACUAUUUUACUUUUUUUUUUGUCAAUGUUAGUGGAAACAAGAAAGGAAGCAAACUUCGGCAAGCCGAAGUUUAUAUACCCAUUCAGCUAUUUCAAAAAUUAAAUAUUCUUGAUAACAUUAUAACUAUGAUUUACUUGCGUAUAUGUUUAAAAGCAUUUAAGCUAUGGUGAUUUGCAGCUCAGUUAUUUGAAAGUUCCUAUGACAGCUAAAAGAAUUAAAAGCGUAAUCCUGAACUGUCAAACUAUUAAUAAGUCAAAAAGAAUUUAAAAAAAAAAAAUAAAAACAAAAUAGAAAAGUUACAUUAAAAAAAGGUUUAUUGUUUGUAUGGGAGAUAUAUGAUAUAAUCGUCCGAUUUUUAUGAAAUUUAAACCGUAGUUCUGAAAUAUUUAACCAUUACUAUAUGUCGAAGUACUAAAAAAAAUUAUUAAACAGCAAAGUUAUAAUUUUGUUCUAUUUAUUUUUCUGAUUGUUCUUAUGGGAGCUAUAUGCUAUAGUCGUCCGAUCCGUUUCGUUCCGGACCUUUUGGGAAAGUUUGCGUAGAAACGGACGGACAGACGGACAUGGCUAGAUCGACUCUCCUAGUGAUGCUGAGGGUAUUGCAAACUUCUGACUGAAAUUAUAAUACCCUCUGCAAGGGUAUAAAAACAACGACAACAAUUAGUGUGCCCAAUCGAAUGGCUGCAAGUUUAACAAAAAACCACUGUACCGAUACUCCGGAUGCCACGGGUACGAUGCGUCCGCCUUCAACAUUGUGCUGGGUCUCACCUCGCAAAUGGACAACUCGGAGUACUCGCUGCCCAGCGAUAGUCCCCGCAAUAUGUUCUACAAGGAGACGCUGGAGCAGGCCACCCGGAUACUGGAGAGCCGGCGGCGCAACAGCAGCGAGACAUCCGACCAUCCGUUUACGGACGACUGAGCUUGUCCUGCUGGGAUGAAAAGUUUACGAGGGCGGGGCCAAAGCAUUUGAUAACACUUUUUCUACCGACACACCCACACACACACGCAGAUACUCAGGAGCCAGCGGAACAAACCAAGAUUGGCAGAACCCAAAAUGAAGUAGCUAACACGCAUGCGAUUCCCAGUUAAGCAGAGAUCGAAAGACGAUUUGGUAUCCAAGACAGACCAGAGCACAGUAAUUUAGCGUUACGUUAGGCUGUGCAGCUUAUCAAUAAUUAUAACAGUUUAGUCAAGCCCUAGUUACUUAUUAAACGAAAUCUGCAUGAAUAUCUGUGUGACUGUUUCCAUGUUUUUGUUGCAUCGAUAUUUGUAAAUACCCUGUUUAGUUAACUGCCCCAACUGUAAGUAGAUAAGAACAUCAAAUGGCAUACAUUUUGUGAUUGUAUUUUAUAGUUACUCACGCAUAGACAAACAUAUAAAGUAUAUUAAUUUAAAUGUAAUGUAACUAUCAUAAAACAAGAUGAGCCAAAAAAGUAAGUUAAUAAAUUUAUGAAUAACCAAUA